rnacentral:rRNA from 1 species
GACGAACGCUGGCGGCGUGCUUAACACAUGCAAGUCGAACGGAAAGGCCCUGCCUUUGUGGGGUGCUCGAGUGGCGAACGGGUGAGUAACACGUGAGUAACCUGCCCUUGACUUUGGGAUAACUUCAGGAAACUGGGGCUAAUACCGGAUAGGAGCUCCUGCUGCAUGGUGGGGGUUGGAAAGUUUCGGCGGUUGGGGAUGGACUCGCGGCUUAUCAGCUUGUUGGUGGUGUAGUGGCUUACCAAGGCUUCGACGGGUAGCCGGCCUGAGAGGGUGACCGGCCACAUUGGGACUGAGAUACGGCCCAGACUCCUACGGGAGGCAGCAGUGGAGAAUAGUGCACAAUGGGCGGAGGCCUGAUGCAGCAACGACGCGUGCGGGAUGACGGCCUUCGGGUUGUAAACCGCUUUCGCCUGUGACGAAGAGUGAGUGACGGUAAUGGGUAAAGAAGCAACGGCUAACUACGUG